rnacentral:lncRNA from 1 species
AAGCAUUCCCUUUCAUUUAGUCACUCAUGUAACAGAAGCUUUGAGCAUCUACUGCGUGUCGGGUGCUGGUUAACCACUGGCGAUUCAGCAGUAACCAAGAGACACAUGGUCCCCACCAGGCUGCUGCUCAGAAUGUCACUGAAAACAGCGUGAGCAGAGUGCUCUGGUGGAGGGAUGGACCCCAGAGGAAAGAGAGACUCAGACUCUUUGGGGAGGUUGAAGACUGACAGAGGAGACGUCAUUCGAACGGGAUUUUGAAGACCUAGUGGGAGGCUGACAGUCCACCGCGGACCGUAGAGAGUUCUGGUGGCUGAAAGAGCGCGUGCUAAGGUGUGGAAUAGGGGUGAGCGUCCGUUGGGGAAGCUGUCGGGCAUCUGGUAUACCCGGAGUCCAGGAUGGAUGCUGGAGGUCAGAGGCUAUCUUAGGGGUCAGAUCCUGAAAUGUCUUGAAUGCUGGGCUAAGGAAUUUGGGGUCUUCUCUGAAGGGCAAUGGGGAGCCGUGGAGUGACACAGCUGCCAUGAGGACUGGGUUGGAGGUGCACCAGCUGGACGCCGGAGAGAUCAGGGAGGAGACCAGCAGGAGGGCAGGUUGCUCUGGCUUCUAAUUUGGAUCCCUUUGCUUUAUUCCACUGUGUCAGCUAUCUUUGGUGGACCCUGAGAGUCAGCAUGUUGUGUGGCUCGGUGGCCUCUCUCUUCCUGCUGAUGCUCAANNNNNNNNNNNNNNNNNNNNNUAGCUGCCCCAAGGUCUGCGGGUGGGGAGGGCCCGGUUGGCCCAUG